GAUAUUAAUAUUUUAUUUAUUAUUUUUAAUAAAUCUCAAAGUGCACAAUAGGCAAACAUUAUAUGGAUACCCCAAAUAACGAAUUAGAAAGUAUUAAAACCAUACAAAAUUUUGAUUAAACUAUAGCUUACAGGUAGAUUAACCCGGCAAAUAUACCUCUCAUGCUAAAGUUUCUAGACAAAGAAGGUGAUUCAAAAAGUGAAGAUCAUCUUUAUUUAUGUAUUUAUUUUAUAUGUUUUUUGUUGUUAUGAUAGCUCAUAGAAUUUGAUUGAAAACAUUGACAACAAAAAUCUAUAUGAUCUCAUCCAAAAAUUAAUAUACUAAAAAUAACUAAUUAAAUUCUAAUAAAAUAUUUAUUUAAUUAAAAUUAAACUUAAGCCUCUAAAUACUUUAAAGACUUCAAAUCAAAAUUAAUUAUUUUUAAUGAAUAAAACUCAAAAUAUUACAUUAAAUUGCCGUGCAUACAUGAACACUAUUCGAGAAAAUUCCCUUGAAGGGCUUUUACAUAACGUCACGUAAAAAACGUUCGUUAUUUUGUCACAGAAAAUACGUGGGCAGCAAGAAAACGGUGAUAAGUCGGCUAAAAAUGAUCUGCCGUAUUUGACGAGCAACACUUUCUUCAUGAGCAUAACAUUUCAUCUUGAGCUGAAAAAUCAUUUCCCUUUAUAAUUUAAAAACCCUAACCCUAGAAUUUUAAAUAGAGGAAGAACCCCAGCCAGUAUUUCUGCAGCGUGGUCUCUUCAUGGAGGAAGAUGAAAGUGUCCCAAAAUGCAGCAACCAGGUUGAUGAAUUUAUGGAAGCACCAAUUGUUUCUUAAAAUAGUCGGAAUUGGAAAGAGAAUAUUCUGAUUUUUUAUGGAGAUCAACGUCAACUCAACGUCCUCAAACGUCCUCAAGGAAUUGCUCACAAUGACAAUGACAGUAGUGAUUUUGAAUUAUCAAGCUAUUGAAUAGCGGCGCCGACUUGAUUAAUCCUUAAUCAAAACAUGCUAGUCUUCAAGCCGGAUCAUCAGCUCCACCAAUAUCUUUUGCUCCACCACCGUGAAGACAAACCGUCGAUAUAAAAUUUAGUUUUUAUUCAUUAAUCAGGGUUAGAAUGAAGUUAUGAAACUAAUCUAGUAUUGUUCGGCUGUACCUCAAACUUUAUCGACAAACUGAGAAAAAUAAUCAAUCUAAAAAAAAUGUCUCAAUAAGUGUUGUGUGGAAAUGUAUACUAUAAACCCAGACAAUUAUUGAAUUAAUCAUAUGAACUUGACAGUUGGUAGGACAAACUGUAGACAUUCAUUAAUUCCCUUCCCAGCCCUUGGUCAAGUUUGGUACAUCCGAAGAUCAAGUAACUAUCUAGCAUUUUAAUGUACCAAAGAUCAAGUAACUAUCUAGCAUUUUAAAUGCGCGAUUUCACUUCCUUGAAUUAAAAGGGACAAAGCUUAAAGUAGUGAAUGUCCUAAGGAUGCUACAUUGGUGAUGCUUAGCUAUUACUACAGGAAAGCUUGAAAUUGAAAACUUGAAUAAGCAUGUAGGAUGCUUCGGAAAAUGGCAUUUGAAAAAAAAAUGGUGUUUUAAUCAAUUUUAGUGGGUUGGUUAAGAAGCCUAUUAAAACUGCAAUAUGAAAACUUUGGAACCUAAAGAUUGUUGGCUGUAUAAUCCCCCAAAUAUCUAUUUGUUAAAUCUUAAAAUUAGCAACUUUUAGAUAGCAUAGUUUCAAUCUUCAGUUGGAUGGCUUAAAUCAUAUAUUAAGCUUUCAUUUCUAGAUUUAAAAGUGUUAAACACUCAGAAUUGACUGACAUUUUCUAAUCUUAAUAUGUUACUUAAUAUAUGUGAUUUAAAACUAACUAUCAUCUGUAACUCUACAUUAUCUUUCUUUUUAUUUAUAAAAUAGUAAAGAAAACAACAAAAAUAUGAAAUGAACCUCAAAGAACAUCAAUAUUAUAUGCCAAACAGAAAAUCUGCUAACGGUGGAACUUUUAUUAGCGUAUAAUGUACUUUGAUGUAAUAGGCAUGCCAAAUUUUAAAUCCAUGGUUUUGUUGUGUAUCUUGAAUCAUGUAUCUCUCAGUGGUCUGUUUUUUAAUGAAAAAAAUAGCAUUCAAGAGGAAGAGUUGAAGAUCUGAAAUUCAUCACAGCUGGGGUCUAAUUUUAGAGAAUUCAUACCAAGUGGUUUCAUUACUCUUCCAAAAAUAUGCAUAUGCCUGUGAUUUUUGGCUGUAAACAAAGUAUCAAUUGCAAAGGCGCAAGUAAUAAUGGUAAAACUCUACCUAAAAGGUUAGAUUACCAACUCAUAUCGAUACGCCUUUGAUUACAUUCAUGGUAUACUUUUGAUUUAUGAACGUUGAAAGAAAGCCGAGUGCGCGAAGAAUGCUUCCUACACUAAUUUAAGUAGAAGAGAUACGGCCAAAUAAUUUAAGACUUUACAGCUAUAGUUGAAUAGAUGCACUUUCAGAUUGACAUAAAAAAAAAUAUUCAAUAACAAAAACAAAAGUAAUACAGGUUAUAUGUGGGAACUUUUUCAAGAGAAAACUUUCACACUUAAAACGCAGUCUAGUGGUACUUUCACAUACAACUCCAUUUACAAAGCUGUCAGUUGGUUAAUGACAAACAGUCCAACAAAUUUAGCAACUGUUUUGUUUCUUUUUUCUACGGUCUGACCAUUAGACAUUCUCAACUUAUUGGAUAGAGAAAUGAUGGGGGUUGAAGGAGAGAAAAUAUACAAAACAAAAAUCAUUUAUAUUAAUCAAGACAAAUAGUACAACAUUAUCAUUUGAGCUUUUGUUCAGACAAAGACUAACAUGAUUAUAGCUUUCAAUUUACAGCUCCGUGAAGCUGGACUCGUCAAGGAGUGCAUAACAAAUAUAAACUUAGCCAAUAAAUAGAAAGUUGAAGGCACACUGUAGAUUGUAGUUAGGUGAAAUAUUUAUGGAGGACAGGUGAAUGAAAGUCCAACAUGAAUCAUGUGGGUGGCUAAGUAAUAUCUUGGUCAGCUUUGGAAGCUUCUAUCUUUAAUUUCUACCAUGAAUUCUGAUUGCAUUCUUAAUGUCUUUCACUGAUGCUACGAUAUCAAAAUAUUCUACAUCUAGAGACCAAACUUAGGAAAUCCCAUGUUUCCAUUGGGAUGCUCUUACCACGAGCUCUAGCUCUCUUGGUUGCCAGUCCAUCAUCAGUUCAACUGCGAUUCACUUGUUUUAUCAACACCUCGCAUUGAGUCACACUGCAAAUGCUUGGGGAUCCUAGUAGGCUCUGCUUGCCUCAAACAUGCUUACAUAAAUCUAGAAUCCUGCAACAUUCAACCAUAUUUCUUUAAUCCCAGCUUGGCUUUGUCCAACUUAAGAAACCUAUGCUCCUUUGAUCUUCUUAUCUUUUUUAUCAACUCCUCUUUUAGUCAUUCUUACUCAACCAUCUCUCCUUCAUAUGGUGGAUUUCUUCUUUGACUCGCCAAAUUUUCAAAGAUUGCAACACCUUCAACAACAAUAUCCUUUUACACACUUUGUUUAUGGCUUGAUCACCUUCUUUGACUUUAGCGGCAAGCUGAACCUCCAACAAUAGCUAGAAGUAAACAACUUGGCAUUCAAGAUCUUUUGCGACUUCUCUUGUUCUUUGUAGUAGUCUUACUUUUUGGUGCACCAUCAACCUAAACAGUUUGUAUAGCCAAUAAUUUCUUCUCCAAUGAUUUCCUUUCACUUUGCACAUAACUUGCACCAAUUGUUGUAGUGAUCUCUAAUACUGCACAACUAUUUUCCUUCUUACAUACCUCCUUUUCUUGAGCCUUCUCUCUUCUCCAUAAUCCUCAUACAUCUAGAGUUUAUUUUGAAGGCAAUGACAUCUCCUCUACAAAUCUUCAUUGGUUCCCCUCAAACACUUGGUACCACAAGUUCUUAUCCUUGCAAGCAAUGACUUUUGUAGAUCCUACUUUUUGCUCCUUCUGCCUCCCAUAGUCACCAUAUUUAACAUGAUCAUUGUCCUAUAAGCGAAAUUUUUCUACACCAAAGUAACAUCCACAAAA